GAUGAACGCUGGCGGCGUGCCUAAUACAUGCAAGUCGAGCGAACAGAUGAGGAGCUUGCUUCUCUGACGUUAGCGGCGGACGGGUGAGUAACACGUGGAUAACCUACCUAUAAGACUGGGAUAACUUCGGGAAACCGGAGCUAAUACCGGAUAAUAUUUUGAACCGCAUGGUUCAAUAGUGAAAGACGGUCUUGCUGUCACUUAUAGAUGGAUCCGCGCUGCAUUAGCUAGUUGGUAAGGUAACGGCUUACCAAGGCAACGAUGCGUAGCCGACCUGAGAGGGUGAUCGGCCACACUGGAACUGAGACACGGUCCAGACUCCUACGGGAGGCAGCAGUAGGGAAUCUUCCGCAAUGGGCGAAAGCCUGACGGAGCAACGCCGCGUGAGUGAUGAAGGUCUUCGGAUCGUAAAACUCUGUUAUUAGGGAAGAACAAAUGUGUAAGUAACUGUGCACAUCUUGACGGUACCUAAUCAGAAAGCCACGGCUAACUACGUG
rnacentral:rRNA from 1 species